CUUGUGAUUUUGUAAGAAGUUUUUCGGAGUAUUUUGAUGUGCUUCUCCACUAAAGAUCCACAGUUUAGCUUAAACUCCCUGCUCUUAAUUCUGGAGAAUGAAAAAAACCAGUCUGAAGGUAUAGGAAAAAACUGAUCACAUUCCUUUUCCCUUUUAAAGUAGAAUAAUAUAUUGGGUAGAAAAUAUUUGUUUAUGUCUUUAGGUGUUUGAGGAAUGCUUUCAAAGGAGAAGGUAUUGGCAUAUCUGCUAUUUCAUAAUUGAGUAAAUAUUGGAAAAUGAAUCGAAAGAGAAGCACAAGAUUGACUUGGAUAUGGAAAAUUUAUUUAUGGUGAUGAUCUAAUAUGGGCAGUGACAACUUUAGGAGUUUGAAGAUUACAUUGAUCAAGGCCUACUUCACAGGUACAGUAUUGUGUCCUCGCGUUUCUAAUUCAUUACUGCAUCAGCUUAUUACAUCAACUUGUGUUGUAUAGCUUGGAUGACUAAUUCAUAUUGCGUAUAACUUGGAUGACUAAACAUAACGAACGAAACAAGACUUGUACUUAUUUAUUUUGAAUCUGGUGAGUUGCAGAAGACUUGGAAGGAAAAAGAAUGGAUCUAUUUAUAACUGCUAGAACAAAAACAUUUAAAAGUUACAGUUGUUACAGAAUAGAUCUAUUUACAAUUGCUAAAUCUAUUUACAACUUGAAUAUAACACAUAUUUGCAAAUAACUAGUCAGUUUGCUCAACUCAAAUAUUGAACAACAGAUGACUGACUACUCUGAUCUUUUGAUCUUUUGUUUGUUAAAGUCUUAAAGCUGCCUUGGAUUUCCUAAGUCUUCUUUCUUCUGAAAGCAACUUCGCGAACCUGGCAAAGAAUGGUUAUGUAAGCUCAUUUAUUCCAACUAAAUGAAGCGCUUGGAGGAGAGCAGACAAGGGCAAAUUAACCAUAUCGUCACUGGCUUGAGUAAGAACAUCCACAAUUGGAGAAGAACCAC